rnacentral:lncRNA from 1 species
UUAACAACAAAUUAUGAAAAAUUGUUAACAUUAUUAUUUAUUAUUGUAUAAUAAUAUUUUUUUCCGUUACAACGUGUCCUACGUGAAUCCGGCGAGUGCGUACGAAUUAUAUUCUGACCAGCGUGUGCGUACGUGCGGUGCGUCCGAUGCAGCGAAAUAUAAGCUGUUUUGUUUUUACACCAUCACCUAUUAAAUAUGUCCCCCUCAAAAAAAAACCUUCUGGGGCUUGGUUUGAGAAAAAAAGAAAAGAAAGAGCGAAAAACAACAUCAAAUCAUCCAUAAUGUUGAGUAGCUGGAUUAAUAAAAAAUAUGAUGAGGAUAAUACAAUUAAUACUGAACAAAAAAAAGACGAUACACCGGCACAUUACAUAGAGGGGCCGAAGACGCAGGAUAUAAGGGAAUGCGGUUGUAUCGAUAUUUUAUGCUAUUUCGAGUUUGUUUAAUACAUGUUGUGUCACCGUCAUUGUCCACAUGCACUAUUGUUUCGAGUCGGGUGAAUAUCGGCGGCGUGUCUUGCACGUCUUCCACGACCACGAUGACCUCGAACGCCGCAGCGUUUCUGGAAUCUUUGCCAAUCUCCACGUACAUGUCCAGUGCAACCACUUGCAGUCGGUACAUGUUCCUGGUCUCGAAGUCCAGCGGCCGGGACACCGAUAUCGUACCUGUGGUCGUGUCCUUGUUCAUGCGCAACCGACCUAUGGUCAACUCUGGAGAUCCCUAAGACACAUGAAUGUGAGGAAAUAUCGUUUCGACGUCACUCCGAGCUUCAGUUGCCACCAGCCGAACUGGCACUGUAGUGGUGUCUCCUCUAGUGUCCCGCACCGUUAUCCUGAAUUGAAAUGUCUGACCUGGAAUCAGGACUCGAUCCAAAUACACGUCUGCCUGACACCCGGCUGUGGUGUUAGGGGUACACGGAAGAUUUUCUAUUCUUAUAACAUAGCUGCCAAAAUCUAUAAAAUCAUUUUAAAAGAGUCAUUAUGCUACCUAUAUACAUACUGUCUAAUGUAAAGUUAUAUUAUAACUAUAAUUUAUAGAUCAUAUUUUUUGUCACUUCACUGAAAGCAGUAAUAGGAUUUAGGAACAAAUAACCAAUUGUAAAAACAUUUAAGAAAUUAUAAUUUCUAACCAUUUUGUAAUUUAUAGCAAGACAAUUUUAGGUUUUGUUUUUCAUACUUUAUUUUAAAAUCGACAUGACUAAUUGUACAAAUAAUUUGUAUCUAGGUAUAUGAUGAUACUCGAUUAAUAAGUAACAAUUUACUAUUAUUUUGCAAAUUUUCUAUAAUAUAGAUAAAAUUAAAUAU